GUCUUCCCCACGUCAGCCCACGGUCCUUUCACCUCUCCCCUUUUAAGCACACAAGCCACAGAGCUACUGUCAUUUCGGCUGACCCUGAGGGGGUCUCCUUGCAGGAUAAGCCAUCUUCCCCGUUUGUUGUGCACACCCUGCCGGGAGCGAUCACUUAUUCCGAGCUGCUAGCGCCGGGCAGGCAGCCGGGCGCGUCCGCUGCCCCCAGGCACCGCUUACACUUGUGGCUCGGUCAUUCCCGAUACCACGGACCAAGCAAACAUGACGGGCAGAUUGCAACUGUAAGAAUGUCUUUUCCACCUCAUUUGAAUCGCCCUCCUAUGGGAAUCCCAACGCUUCCCCCUGGUAUUCCACCUCCACAGUUUCCUGGCUUUCCUCCACCUGUGCCUCCUGUUCCUUUCAAAUAGGUCAUUACAGCCUUUGGAAACACUUGGUACACCUAGCAUUUGUGGUGUGAAAAUAUGGGAGCAACUUUCAGAGACUCUUUAACUUCGUU
rnacentral:lncRNA from 1 species